GGAAGUAAAAUCGUAACAAGGUCUCCGUUGGUGAACCAGCGGAGGGAUCAUUACCGAGUUUACAACUCCCAAACCCAAUGUGAACCAUACCAAACUGUUGCCUCGGCGGGGUCACGCCCCGGGUGCGUCGCAGCCCCGGAACCAGGCGCCCGCCGGAGGGACCAACCAAACUCUUUCUGUAGUCCCCUCGCGGACGUUAUUUUUACAGAUCUGAGCAAAAAUUCAAAAUGAAUCAAAACUUUCAACAACGGAUCUCUUGGUUCUG
rnacentral:misc_RNA from 1 species